rnacentral:rRNA from 1 species
AACGAACGCUGGCGGCAUGCCUAACACAUGCAAGUCGAACGAGUGCCUUCGGGUGCUAGUGGCGCACGGGUGCGUAACGCGUGGGAAUCUGCCCUUAGGUUCGGAAUAACAGCUGGAAACGGCUGCUAAUACCGGAUGAUAUCGCGAGAUCAAAGAUUUAUGGCCUGAGGAUGAGCCCGCGUUGGAUUAGGUAGUUGGUGGGGUAAAGGCCUACCAAGCCGACGAUCCAUAGCUGGUCUGAGAGGAUGAUCAGCCACACUGGGACUGAGACACGGCCCAGACUCCUACGGGAGGCAGCAGUGGGGAAGAUUGGACAAUGGGCGCAAGCCUGAUCCAGCAAUGCCGCGUGAGUGAUGAGGGCCCUAGGGUUGUAAAGCUCUUUUACCCGGGAAGAUAAUGACUGUACCGGGAGAAUAAGCCCCGGCUAACUCCGUGCCAGCCGCCGCAGUAA